rnacentral:lncRNA from 1 species
UCCCUUGUAAAAAACAUCCUUUUAUACUAUGUGAAAACUCAUGUUGCUUUAGAUCUCUGAAUUCGAAUACAAUUGGAAAAUAACCAAUCAAUAUCUAAUUUAAUAUAGCCAAUGUUAAUCUACCACAUUUAAUUCAUGUUCUAGGCUGCCAUAGAUCUUCAGUAUUUCACGAUCGUUUAAACAAACUGAGUAAUCUGAAACCAUCUGACAUAGGC